rnacentral:snRNA from 2 species
GCGCUUCAGCAGAACAUAUACUAAAACUGGAACGACACAGAAAAGAUUAGCAUGGCCCCUGCACAAGGAUGACAUGCAAAUUCAUGAAGCAAUCCAUAUUUUU